rnacentral:lncRNA from 1 species
GCCCACGCAAAUUUGAAAACCCGCAAUUGCUUUAGGCGCGUUAGUUAAAAAUUUACCUUCCUAAAUUUGGGUGCGCAUUUAUGUGACCUAAAUCUAAAUCUCAACAAUAUUAAAAUAUAUCAAAGACCGCGGGUGCAUUUAUGUGGUCCAAGACACAUUUUAACAACGUUGAAAUCUUCUUAAAAUUAAAUAAAAACGGUUAAAAAGUUAAAAUUUGCAUAUAGUAUCAAAAUGUAUUAAUAUCAGAUAAUUAAGACGAAUAUAACAGUUGAGUGACCGUGCUAGAACCAUGGAAUUCGGGAAUGCCUAGCACCUUCUCCCGGGUUAACAAAAUUCCUUACCUGGAUUUCUAGCUCGCGAAAUGUAUUAUAGAGUCAAACUUUCCUCGAUUAGGGAUUUUAAAAUGGUGACUUGGGACACAAUUAAUUAUCCAAGUGGCGACUCUGGAAUCUUUAAAUAGAUAAAUCCCGUUUUUAUUGUCCUUUAAUGUGAAAAAAUCCCUUAUCUACACCCUUCCCGGGAUGUAAUGAAAAAAGGGAAGUGUGACAGCUCUAGCGACUCUGCUGGGGACCGAACCCAGAAUCUCUAUUUCAGGGUUCAAGAAUUCGAGCUUAGAUAAUUGUUGUAUUUGGCUUUGUUUAUUAUCAAAAUUUAUUACAUGUUUGGGGUUGAUGUGCUAAAUGUUGCUUUUACCUCUUUGAUAUUAUUUGAAUUGUUUGUAUGAACUGCUAUGAAAUCCCUCUCCUGUGUUCGGAGAUGUGCUCGCUGGUCGAGACUCCCUAUUCAAUUAGUGUCAUACCUUGGAAUAAGACAGAGGCUCGGACAAGUUACAAAGUCGGAUGGAUUUUGGUUCUCGGUACGUAGCCCCCUCCUUGACUUUAUUUGUCCGCUCGGGUACACAAUCUAUAAUAUAUACCCAGGUUUUGAACCUAGAAUAACUUAACCUCAUGUCGUGUCCUUAGUAGGAAUGGCUAUUUGCAUCAUUCAUUUGACUUAGGG